UCUAAAACUAGAGAUAUGGGCUAAACACCGAACAAUGUCUGGGCUGCAGGACAAAUUCAGACUUCUUUUUUGUUGAUACAAUUUGAACUUGAAAAUGGCAGCUUUGAAUCUUGGACUCUUGAUGAAUGUUUUAGGCCUAUGUCUUAGCUUUCCAUA
rfam:Populus trichocarpa isolate Nisqually-1 chromosome 8, whole genome shotgun sequence.